UGAGGAACAUAGCCAUCGGCGGGGGAUAGCCGGCCCAACGGCCGGGUAAUACCGCGUACGACCACAUGGGGACAUCCCUGAGUGGUGAAAGCAGCAAUGCGCCGAUGGAGUGCCUCGCGGCCUAUCAGCUAGUUGGUGAGGUAACGGCUCACCAAGGCGACGACGGGUAGCUGGUCUGAGAGGAUGGCCAGCCACAUUGGGACUGAGACACGGCCCAGACCUCUACGGGA
rnacentral:rRNA from 1 species